UACCAGCACCCCGAGUGGUCGGGACGUUUAUUGGGCCUAAAGCAUCCGUAGCCGGUUCUACAAGUCUUCCGUUAAAUCCACCUGCUUAACAGAUGGGCUGCGGAAGAUACUAUGGAGCUAGGAGGCGGGAGAGGCAAGCGGUACGUCGAUGGGUAGGGGUAAAAUCCGUUGAUCCAUUGAAGACCACCAGUGGCGAAGGCGGCUUGCCAGAACGCGCUCGACGGUGAGGGAUGAAAGCUGGGGGAGCAACCGGAUUAGAUACUCGGAGGUAGUC
rnacentral:rRNA from 1 species